CAAGGAAUUUUGCGCAAUGGGCGAAAGCCUGACGCAGCAACGCCGCGUGAGGGAUGAAGGCCUUCGGGUUGUAAACCUCUUUUCUCAGGGACGAAUGAUGACGGUACCGAGGAAUAAGCUUCGGCUAACUACGUGCCAGCAGCCGCGGUAAUACGUAGGAAGCAAGCGUUAUCCGGAUUUACUGGGCGUAAAGUGAGCGUAGGUGGUUUUUACAAGUCGGAUGUGAAAUCUCUCGGCUUAACUGGGAGGGGUCAUCCGAUACUGUUGAACUAGAGGACAGCAGGGGAAGGUGGAAUUCCCGGUGUAGUGGUGAAAUGCGUAGAUAUCGGGAGGAACACCAGUGGCGAAGGCGGCCUUCCAGGUUGUUUCUGACACUGAGGCUCGAAAGUGUGGGGAGCGAACA
rnacentral:rRNA from 1 species